UACGUAGGGAGCGAGCGUUGUCCGGAUUUAUUGGGCGUAAAGCGCGCGUAGGCGGCUCCGCAAGUCGGCCGUGAAAUCUCCGGGCUCAACUCGGAGGGGUCGGGCGAGACUGCGAGGCUCGAGGUGGGCAGAGGGCAGUGGAAUUCCGGGUGUAGUGGUGGAAUGCGUAGAGAUCCGGAGGAACACCAGUGGCGAAGGCGGCUGCCUGGGCCUGGCCUGACGCUGAGGCGCGAAAGCGUGGGGAGCAAUCCGG
rnacentral:rRNA from 1 species